AGUGAACGCUGGCGGUAGGCCUAACACAUGCAAGUCGAACGGCAGCACAGUAAGAGCUUGCUCUUACGGGUGGCGAGUGGCGGACGGGUGAGGAAUACAUCGGAAUCUACUUUUUCGUGGGGGAUAACGUAGGGAAACUUACGCUAAUACCGCAUACGACCUACGGGGGAAAGCAGGGGAUCUUCGGACCUUGCGCGAUUGAAUGAGCCGAUGUCGGAUUAGCUAGGUGGCGGGGUAAAGGCCCACCAAGGCGACGAUCCGUAGCUGGUCUGAGAGGAUGGUCAGGCCCACUGGAAACUGGAAACCGGCCCAACACCUACGGGGGGGCACAAGGGGGAAAUUUGGGCAAUGGGGGAAAACCCUGACCCGCCCAUACGCGGGUGGUGAAAAAGGCCUCCGGGUUGAAAACCCUUUUUGUUGGGAAAAAAAAGCGUCAGUUUAAACCCCCCCUUUUUGGACGUUCCCAAAAAAAAAACCCCGGCUAACUUCCGG
rnacentral:rRNA from 1 species